UGUUUUUUCCAUAACCAGUGUUGUGAACCGAGUGUUGUGUUGUUGACCUCUUAAGAAAAACAAACAAUUUUCUGUCAUUUUACGAUGUUAAAGCACAAUAGUUUGUUUUAUUUGUGAGGUGUGUGUGUGCGAAAUAAUGAAUUCUUUACUCUUUAUUGGAAACCCUUUUGCUGUUCAGUGAGUUCAACAUGUCUGAGUUUUAUCCUAAUCCAACAGCUCUGCCACCUGGUUUGGAGGACCUUACACAAAAUGUAAGCAAACAGUUGCCAGUCCCAAGUGACUUCAGUAUGGAGGAAUCUAUGGAAGUCAUGGGAACCAGAAACUGUUUGGUUCCCAACAUUCUUCAAAAUAUCAACUUUGAGUUCAGAAGAAAGAGAUCCAUACAAGUUUGGAACAAACUGAUGGUGACCAAGUGAUUGACCAGAUAUUGGCCCAUCAAAAGAUUGAGCUCCUUGAAGCAAUCAUUGGCUUUGAGACCAAUAACCAGUAUGAGAUUAAGAACAGCAUGGGUCAAAAGAUCUUCCAUGCUAAAGAAAACAAUGACUGCUGCACACGGAAC